GACCAAGGUUCGACUCGAGCGCCAGCGAGAGAGCGUUGCCGCAGGCAGACCCGAAGGGCGAAGCGCGCAGCGCUGAGUAAUCCUUCCCCCACCACCA
rnacentral:sRNA from 1 species